rnacentral:rRNA from 1 species
UACGUAGGGUGCGAGCGUUGUCCGGAAUUAUUGGGCGUAAAGGGCUCGUAGGCGGUUUGUCGCGUCGGGAGUGAAAUCCACUGGCUUAACUGGUGGCUUGCUUUCGAUACGGGCAGACUGGAGGUAUGCAGGGGAGAACGGAAUUCCUGGUGUAGCGGUGAAAUGCGCAGAUAUCAGGAGGAACACCGGUGGCAAAGGCGGUUCUCUGGCAAUGUUCUGACGCUGAGGAGCGAAAGUGUGGGGAGCGAACAGG